UGUUAAAAAUUUCAUCCAUUUCUACUAUUAAAAAUUGGUGUGACUGAUGGACCAGUUUCAACAGUAGAAAUGGAUAGAAUUUUUAACA
rfam:Gossypium arboreum cultivar AKA8401 contig_4293_3, whole genome shotgun sequence.